UGAAGGGCAUCUGUGAUGUGGUGUACCUUGCCUUCAUAUCCCCCUGCUUCAAGCACCACUGCUCUGCUAUACUCCAGCCUGCCCCAGGAAAAGGCAAGAUGGGAGGAAAAGAGCAGCAAAGAAACCACAGACAGCCUUUGGAGCAGCACUGAAAACCAAGCAGACAUCAUGAUAGGGCAAGCUCUGGAAAACCCUGAAUAAAAGUGCAAACUUCUGUUCCAGGCCAGUGGAGGACAGCUACCUGUGUCUGCUAUGUCUGUCUCGCCCCAGAAUGUAACAGACAGUCUGGAGUGCCUACUCCAUGAGAAGUUCACUUUCAUCACUAGCCUCCAAUGGGCGAAAGUCUGAUCAAAUCAACAAGAGGCUGAUUUAGCAUGGAGACAGUGCACCCUCCUUACAAGCAGCCUGCUUCCAUGCACAGACCCAACUGACUGCCAUGGGGACUAUUAACACAGACAGAGUGAUACCCUCUGCUUCAAUUUGGACUCAUUAACGCCAGCAAUGAACCAAAUACACACUCUGGUUUUGCUUGGACUCAGUUUACAGGCAGUCUGGGACAGUGCAGGCAUAGCUCAUUUAUAAGGUGCACUAUUUGAGGCAGGAGGGUUACAUGAGGGUAUUAAUUGUGAAGCCCCAAGCCAUUCUUAUAACAAACAGCAAGUAACUAGUAUAAAUUUUGU